rnacentral:rRNA from 1 species
UACGAAGGGGGCUAGCGUUGCUCGGAAUCACUGGGCGUAAAGCGCACGUAGGCGGCUUUCUAAGUCAGGGGUGAAAUCCUGGAGCUCAACUCCAGAACUGCCUUUGAUACUGGAGAGCUUGAGUCCGGAAGAGGUGAGUGGAACUCCGAGUGUAGAGGUGAAAUUCGUAGAUAUUCGGAAGAACACCAGUGGCGAAGGCGGCUCACUGGUCUGGUACUGACGCUGAUGUGCGAAAGCGUGGGGAGCAAACAGG